rnacentral:rRNA from 1 species
CGGCGGACGGGUGAGUAACACGUGGGUGACCUACCUAUAAGACUGGGAUAACUCCGGGAAACCGGGGCUAAUACCGGAUAAUACAUGAAACCGCAUGGUUUCAUGAUGAAAGACGGUUUUGCUGUCACUUAUAGAUGGACCCGCGGCAUAUUAGCUAGUUGGUAAGGUAACGGCUUACCAAGGCAACGAUACGUAGCCGACCUGAGAGGGUGAUCGGCCACACUGGAACUGAGACACGGUUCAGACUCCUACGGGAGGCAGCAGAG